UUAAAUUAGUAAGGGCGCAUGGCGGAUGCCUUGGCACUAGAAGCUGAAGAAGGACGUGACGAACGACGAUACGCUUCGGGGAGCUGUACGUAAGCUUUGAUCCGGAGAUUUCCGAAUGGGGGAACCCAGCAGUAGUAACUUACUGUUAUCCUAACGUGAAUACAUAGCGUUAGAGAGAGUAACCUGGCGAACUGAAACAUCUUAGUAACCAGAGGAAAAGAAAGAAAAAUCGAUUCCCUUAGUAGUGGCGAGCGAAAAGGGAGGAGCCCAAACCAAUCCUACGGGAUUGGGGUUGUAGGACUUCCGUAUAGGAGUAAGAAAAUCGAUGUAUAGCUGAAUCUGAUGGAAAUCAGAACCAUAGUAGGUGAAAGUCCUGUAAGCGAAAUAUAACGAUCUCCUGGAAGUAUCCUGAGUAGGACGGGACACGUGGAACCCUGUCUGAAUCAACGGAGACCAUUCCGUAAGGCUAAAUACUCUCUAGUGACCGAUAGUGAACAAGUACCGAGAGGGAAAGGUGAAAAGAACCCCGGGAGGGGAGUGAAAUAGAAAACUGAAACCAUGUGCUUACAAAAAGUCAAAGCCCAUUAAAGGGUGAUGGCGUGCCUUUUGCAGAAUGAACCGGCGAGUUAAUGUUGCAUGCGAGGUUAAGUUGAAGAGACGGAGCCAAAGCGAAAGCGAGUCUGAAUAGGGCGAAUGAGUAUGCAGUAUUAGACCCGAAACCGAGUGAUCUAGCCAUGAGCAGGUUGAAGUUUUGGUAACACAAAAUGGAGGACCGAACCGACGUACCCGGAAACGUGCGCGGAUGACUUGUGGCUAGCGGUGAAAUUCCAAACGAACUCGGAUAUAGCUGGUUCUCCCCGAAAUAGGUUUAGGCCUAGCCUUGAGGUUAAGUACCGUGGAGGUAGAGCACUGAAUAUAUGAUGGCCCCAUCUAGGGGUACUGAAUGUAAUCAAACUCCGAAUGCCAUGGCUACAUACUCAGGAGUCAGCGUGUGGGUGAUAACGUCCAUACGCGAAAGGAAAAGAGUCCAAGAUCGCCGAUUAAGGUCCCAAAAUUUGUGCUAAGUGGGAAAGGAUGUGGAGUUGUCAAAACAGCUAGGAGGUUGGCUUAGAAGCAGCCAUCCUUUAAAGAGUGCGUAAUAGCUCACUAGUCGAGUGACACUGCGCCGAAGAUGUACCGGGGCUAAGCACAAUACCGAAAUCGCGGAUUCAUACGUAAGUAUGAGUGGUAGGGGAGCGUUCCAAGGGCGUCGAAGGUUGACCGUGAGGACAGCUGGAGCGCUUGGAAGUGAGAAUGCCGGUGUGAGUAGCGCAAGAUGGGUGAGAAUCCCAUCCACCGAUUGACUAAGGGUUCCUGGGGCAGGUUCGUCCUCCCAGGGUUAGUCGGGUCCUAAGACGAGGCCGAAAGGCGUAGCCGAUGGACAACAGGUUGAUAUUCCUGUACUAUCUAUAUGACUGAUGGAGUGACGGAGAAGGCUAGGGAGAGCCAGUUAAUGGAUUCUGGUCUAAGCACAAAGGUUUAUAAUUAGGGAAAUCCGGUUAUAGAUAAGCUGAAGUGUGAUGGUGAAGCUACUAAGUAGCGAAAUCUCUUGACGCCAAGCUUCCAAGAAAAGCUUCUAGGGCUAAUCAUAUAGGUACCCGUACCCAGAACCGACACAGGUGGUCAAGGAGAGUAUCCUAAGGUGAGCGAGAGAACCAUGGUUAAGGAACUCGGCAAAAUAACCCCGUAACUUCGGAAUAAGGGGUGGUCGCUAGACGACCGACACUAAAGACGCCCAGGCAACUGUUUACCAAAAACAUAGGUCUCUGCUAAGUCGAAAGACGAUGUAUAGGGGCUGACACCUGCCCAGUGCUGGAAGGUUAAGAGGAGUGCUUAGAAUAGACGUAAGUCGAUGAUUCGAAGGUACGAAUUGAAGCCCCAGUGAACGGCGGCCGUAACUAUAACGGUCCUAAGGUAGCGAAAUUCCUUGUCGGGU
rnacentral:rRNA from 1 species